rnacentral:lncRNA from 1 species
UCUCUAUGGGGUCUUUAUGGGGCUUAUGGGGUCUCUGUGGGGUCUCUGUGGGUCGCUAUGGGGUCUCUAUGGGGUCUUUAUGGGGUUCUGUGUGGUUUUAUGGGGUCUCUGUGGGGCUCUGUGGGUCGGUAUGGGUCUCUAUGGGGUCUCUGUGGGUCGCUAUGGGUCUCUAUGGGUCUCUAUGGGUCUCUAUGGGUCUCUAUGGGUCGCUGUGGGUCUCUGUGGGUCGCUAUGGGUCCCGCUAUGGGUCGCUGUGGGGCUGCCCCAUAGUACGCGUCGGUGGAGGAGGCGGC